rnacentral:rRNA from 1 species
UGAGUACGAGAUGCUACGGCAUCGAAGCAGUCUAUGUCAUACUUCCAAGAAAAGCUUGCACUGUCAUAAACAAAGAAUGCCUGUACCAUAACCGACACAGGUGGGUAGGUAGAGUAUACUAAGGGGCGCGAGAUAACUCUCUCUAAGGAACUCGGCAAAAUGACUCCGUAACUUCGGGAGAAGGAGUGCCUUAUUUCUAAGGUUGCAAUAACAAGAUCCAAGCAACUGUUUACCAAAAACACAGGUCUCCGCUAAGUCGUAAGACGAUGUAUGGGGGCUGACGCCUGCCCAGUGCCAGAAGGUUAAAGAAGUUGGUUAGCAUUAGCGAAGCUGAUAACUGAAGCCCUGGUGAACGGCGGCCGUAACAAUAACGGUCCUAAGGUAGCGAAAUUCCUUGUCGGGUAAGUUCCGACCCGCACGAAAGGCGUAAUGAUUUGGAUACUGUCUCGGAGAGGGGCUCGGUGAAAUAGACUUGUCUGUGAAGAUGCGGACUACCUGCACCUGGACAGAAAGACCCUAUGAAGCUUUACUGUAACUUGAGAUUGAAAUUGGACUUUAUUUGCGCAGUAUAGGUGGGAGGCGUUGAGAAUAAUCUUGCGGGAUUGUUGGAGCCAUCAGUGAGAUACCACUCUUGUAAUGUUAGAUUUCUAACUUUGUAUCAUUAUCUGGUCAAAGAACAGUUUCAGGCGGGCAGUUUGACUGGGGCGGUCGCCUCCCAAAGGGUAACGGAGGCGCACAAAGGUUUCCUCUGAACGGGUAGAAAUCGUAUCUAGAGUGUAAAGGCAUAAGGAAGCUUGACUGUGAGACCUACAAGUCGAGCAGGGACGAAAGUCGGUCUUAGUGAUCUGACGGUGCUGAGUGGAAAGGCCGUCACUCAACGGAAAAAAGUUACUCUAGGAUAACAGGCUGAUCUCCCCCAAGAGUUCACAUCGACGGGGAGGUUUGGCACCUCGAUGUCGGCUCAUCGCAUCCUGGGGCGGUAGUCCGUCCCAAGGGUUGGGCUGUUCGCCCAUGAAAGCGGUACGCGAGCUGGGUUCAGAACGUCGUGAGACAGUUCGGUCCAUAUCCGGUGUAGGCGUUAGAAUAUUGAGAGGAGCCUUCUCUAGUACGAGAGGACCGAGAAGGACAUACCUCUGGUGUACCAGUUAUCGUGCCAACGGUAAACGCUGGGUAGCUAUGUAUGGAGUGGAUAACCGCUGAAAGCAUCUAAGUGGGAAGCCCACCUCAAGAUAAGUA